UCAUUUACCAUAGUUGAGCAUGAAAGAAAAAUCAAUGUAUUUAUUAUAGUUAUUAAGUUUAUAUAUUACUAGCUUAUGCCCGAGACUUCGUCCGCGUGAACUACAUACAUUUUAAACUCCUAUUUUGCCCCUCUAGGGGUUGCAUUUUCAAAAAUCCUUUCUUAGCGAAAGUCUACGUCAUAAUAAUUAUCUG